UCAAAGCUUCCUAGAAGAGAAAAGAUCAACAUUCACGACUUGUGCAGAGGGUGCUUCAGUGUCUCAGAUCAGAGAGGAAAGCCUCUGGGUGUGACUGUCAUGCACGCCCUCCCCACACCCAAAGAAGGACACAGGGCUGCCUGUAGCCAACACACACACGCAACUCGACUGUGAAAUAGAGCCCAGGGACAGACACCAGAGCAGAGGGAGCGAUUCUCCACCCAGCUGAGCUGGAUGCUAGCAAACGUUUAACAUUUUCACCAGUCUGACGAGCGAGACUGUUGUCAUCGGCUUGGGCUGCCAUAGCAGAGUAC